rnacentral:rRNA from 1 species
UACGUAGGGGGCAAGCGUUGUCCGGAUUUACUGGGCGUAAAGAGCGUGUAGGCGGCCAGGUAGGUCUGCUGUGAAAACUCGAGGCUCAACCUCGAGACGUCGGCGGAAACCAUCUGGCUAGAGUCCGGAAGAGGAGAGUGGAAUUCCUGGUGUAGCGGUGAAAUGCGCAGAUAUCAGGAGGAACACCGAUGGCGAAGGCAGGUCUCUGGGCGUGUGAACUGACGUGAGGAGCGAAAGACAUGGGGGAGCGAACAGGG